AACGACCAUAAUAUGCUGAAAACAUUAGUUCUCGUUGGAUCAAUGACGUUAAGCGUUAUCGGUAGCGGUUACUACUUGGGACGAUGACCACCUGGGAACACCGUGUGUCGUU